GAUCAAAUCAAGCGCGAAAAGGGCGUUUGGUGGAUGCCUUGGCAGUAAGAGGCGAUGAAGGACGUGAUACUCUGCGAUAAGUUGCGGUUAGCCGAGAAUAGGCUUUGACCCGCAAAUUUCCGAAUGGGGGAACCCACCUGACAGUUCAUUAUAAUAGCUUCGGCUGUUUAUAGUGUUCUGAAACAGGUACUUUUAACCUGAAUACAUAGGGUUUUAAGAGCAAACCCGGGGAACUGAAACAUCUAAGUACCCGGAGGAAAGGAAAUCAAUAGAUACUCCCUUAGUAGCGGCGAGCGAACGGGGACCAGCCGAGCCAUGAAUGUGACUGGAAUGUGUUGGAAAGCACAAUCACAGAGGGUGACAAUCCCGUACAGGAAGCAUGAAUGGACGUAUUAAGUAGGGCGGAACACGUGAAAUUCUGUCUGAAGAUGGGGGGACCACCCCCUAAGGCUAAGUACUCCUUACUGACCGAUAGCGAACCAGUACCGUGAGGGAAAGGUGAAAAGCACCCCGACGAGGGGAGUGAAACAGUUUCUGAAACCGGA
rnacentral:rRNA from 1 species